GACGAACGCUGGCGGCGCGCCUAACACAUGCCAGUCGAACGAGCGAGAGAGAGCUUGCUUUCUCAAGCGAGUGGCGAACGGGUGAGUAACGCGUGAGGAACCUGCCUCAAAGAGGGGGACAACAGUUGGAAACGACUGCUAAUACCGCAUAAGCCCACGACCCGGCAUCGGGUAGAGGGAAAAGGAGCAAUCCGCUUUGAGAUGGCCUCGCGUCCGAUUAGCUAGUUGGUGAGGUAACGGCCCACCAAGGCGACGAUCGGUAGCCGGACUGAGAGGUUGAACGGCCACAUUGGGACUGAGACACGGCCCAGACUCCUACGGGAGGCAGCAGUGGGGAAUAUUGCACAAUGGGGGAAACCCUGAUGCAGCGACGCCGCGUGGAGGAAGAAGGUCUUCGGAUUGUAAACUCCUGUUGUUGAGGAAGAUAAUGACGGUACUCAACAAGGAAGUGACGGCUAACUACGU
rnacentral:rRNA from 1 species